rnacentral:tRNA from 1 species
UCCCUGAUGUCUUAACGGUAAAGAAUCCACCUGCUAAUGCAGGAGACACAGGUUCAAUCCCUGGUCCGGGAA